rnacentral:lncRNA from 11 species
AUUAUUAUUAUGUUUAUUUAAUAUAAUUAGUUUGACUAAUUUAAUUUCAAGACUUGCCAUUUUCUUCUCCAGCUCCUGCCCCUUGGUAGAUUGGUUUUCUCAACUCAUACAGCACACAGUACUUCUGCCAUUAAGAAAAUACGAAAUUUUGGAAGCGGCAUCUUGGAAACGCCAUCAAAGUGCUAGAAGAAAGUGCGCUUUCUCUAAUUCACAUUCCAUAGAUCUGUUAAGAUACACGAUACUAGGAAACCCAGCAGCUCUGGAUCAGCUGCAGUGCUUGAGCUACAACACCUCAUAUCUAUAUAUCCAUGAGACUUGAUGAGUUCUCGUUUUCUCUCUCCUUCUCCUGUGGUUUUUCCUCAUACACACAUGGGUUUUUUAAUUGGGAAAAGAAAAGCUGUACAUGUUUCUGCAACAUAAUUGGAGAAAAGACAAGUUACAAUGUAAGUAAUCAAUAAAAUAUUCCACGAGCCAUAUCCAUAGUGGAUACAUUCUCAGACUUGCCUGGAUAAUACACCCUAUCUACUAGGGUUGAGC